AUCUUACUUUCGAUUUUGAAUUCCACGUGACGUGUUUCUGAUAGAAAUGGACGAUCAUGGAACGUAAACAGCAUAAAUGGGAGAAUUUAUGGACUUCUGUCACUGAGGACGGAUAUCACGGUUACGUCAGUUCCCUAUACAAAGCCGAACAAGUCCGAAAGGACUUUGAAAUAGAGAAAUGCCUUGCCUUCGUUUCAGGGAAACGGGAAUCUAAUUUCGGCAAUCACGGUCAUGAACUGCCAAGUAAAUUUCGCUGAAGAUUUACUGACAUUGGCGACAAUGAAACAAUAAAAUACACUGGCACUCCUUUUAGAAUUAUUUCCAAAUAUGAAAGGCAUUGUUUGUUUGGAAAAGACAAGAACAAAAAAAGAAAGAGAAACAUCAGAACUCA